rnacentral:rRNA from 1 species
CCUACUGGAGGCAUCAUUGAGGAAUCUUGGUCAAUGGCCGGAAGGCUGAACCAGCCAAGCCGCGUGAAGGACGACGGUGCCAAGCAUUGUCAACUUCUUUUGUCAAUGGACAAAAUCAGGCUCGAGAGCCUGACCGAGGGUACUUGAAGAAAAAGCAUCGGCUAACUCCGUGCCAGCAGCCGCGGUAAGACGGAGGAUGCGAGCGUUAUCCGGAUUGAUUGGGUUAAACGGGUGCGUAGGCGGACUGUUAAGUCAGCGGUAAAAGCCCGGGGCUCAACCCCGGCGAGCCGUUGAAACUGGCUGUCUUGAGAUGUCGAGAGGUAUGCGGAAUGCGCAGUGUAGCGGUGAAAUGCUUAGAUAUUGCGCAGAACUCCGAUUGCGAAGGCAGCAUACCGGCGGCGAUCUGACGCUGAGGCACGAAAGCGUGGGUAUCGAACAGGAUUAGAUACCCGAGUAGUC